rnacentral:lncRNA from 1 species
GUCGAAGGAGGCCCAAGAGAGUUGUUAACGUUUUUUCAUAGCCAUGUUUACUCUUUUUCAUCUUGGCGCCGAGACCCUAAUGACACGCCCCCCUGGAAGCUCGCCCCUGCCUCUCAACAGGGCACGAACACGGCACGGGCACGGGCACGGGUACGCUCCCCUUGGUGGCAACGAUAAGCGACAAUAAACAUAAAAAAUGAAUGCUCAGCCCCCGCUGGAGCAGCACCAACGCCACCGCCACCCCACCCCAUCGCUAUUUUCCGGCUUUUCCACCAGUGCAAAGCGCACGCUUGGCGCAAAUUUAACAACCACACGAGAUUUUUCCGCCAAGCUUUAUUGUUGCUGUCACGGAUUUUUCGAGGAUUUUCAUCGCGUAAACAUCUUUUUCAUAUUCAUUUCAAAAAGAAGGAAGAAUGUGAUGACACGAUAACCGAAGCGACAAAUACCCUGCCAUCAGGAGUACUGCUGCAGCCAAAUACCCAUAUAAAUACCCGUGCUAUAAAUAACCAGUUCCCAUAUGUGAACUGGUUUUAAUACCAAUCGGCACAAUCCUCAGCAAGGGUAUGAAAACAGUUAAGUGCGUGGCUGGCCUCAGUGAUGAGUCUGGAAUGGCGGGCAUGCCACAUCCUUUGGGAACUCAAAUUAGCUCACAACGAAAAUGUAUUAAUUGAAUCAUAAUUUACGAGCACAAACCCCAGAAUGGGGAACAGACUACCUACCAAUCCUUAUUAAUGCAAAAUAUAUGAAAUAUGGGUACAACAAAACGGAAUAUUGAAACUAAUAAUGCGAAUAUUUGUACAGUUUAAUUUAAUUGAUUGCAAUUUAUGCACGAUGAAAUAUGUGCGGUCUGCUUUUAUUAAUCAUCUGCAUCACAACAAAUGCUCAAAAUAAAUGGAAAAGUAUCCGAAUUUUUGUAUUUGUUGCAAUUUGAAACCAACCGAAAUCAAAUUUUCUAACAAAAACACAACAAUAAAAACACAUAUUAACGGCCAAGUUUGGUUGGUCAGACAUAUUAGUCAUAACUAAAGCAGUUCUCGCACUUUGUGAACC